CCUACGGGUGACUGCAGUGGGUAAUAUUGGACAAUGGGGGAAACCCUGAUCCAGCGACGCCGCGUGAGUGAAGAAGUAUUUCGGUACGUAAAGCUCUAUCAGCAGGGAAGAAAAUGACGGUACCUGACUCAGAAGCCCCGGCUAACUACGUGCCAGCAGCCGCGGUAAUACGUAGGGGGCACGCGUUAUCAGGAUUUACUGGGUGUAAAGGGAGCGUAGACGGCAGCGCAAGUCUGGAGUGAAAUGGCGGGGCCCAACCCCGGAACUGAUCAUGAAACUGUGAAGCUGGAGUGCAGGAGAGGUAAGCUGAAGUCUUGGGGUCGCGGUGAAAUGCGUAGAUAUCAGGAGGAACACCGGCGGCGAAGGCGGCUUACUGGACUGUAACUGACGUUGAGGCACGAAGGCGAGGGGAGCAAACCGGAUUAGAUACCCCAGUAGUC
rnacentral:rRNA from 1 species